UACAGAGGGUGCGAGCGUUAAUCGGAAUUACUGGGCGUAAAGCGUGCGUAGACGGUUCGUUGUGUCGGUGGUGAAAGCCCCGGGCUUAACCUGGGAAUGGCCAUGGAAACUGGCGAACUGGAGUGUGGCAGAGGGGGGUGGAAUUCCGCGUGUAGCAGUGAAAUGCGUAGAGAUGCGGAGGAACACCGAUGGCGAAGGCAGCCCCCUGGGCUGACACUGACGCUCAGGCACGAAAGCGUGGGGAGCAAACAGG
rnacentral:rRNA from 1 species